GCGUGUAGUCUCCCCUGCGCCCCGGCACCACCACCACCUACUGUCUCCACCUUCACUUUGUUGUUCUCACGCCCGCCGCCAGGACGCUGUGUCCCGCACGCCGGCCACACCCUCGUCUUGCUUUCCUGUCUUCCUCAGCUCUUCUUCUUCACGUCAUCUGCCUCAUUAACAUAAACGUUCUGGGCGCGACAAAGUUGCCACAGCAAUCCAAACUCUUGUUGCCAUUCUCAACAAUCUAUGCAAGCACACUUGGACCUCUGCAUGACAGGUGAAAGCGAGUGCCUCUUGUUCGUCGUGUUAUGCUUAUGAAACGUGAUUGUUAUUCUCGGCUCAUGAAUUAUCCUCCAUCCACCACAUCCUCCAUCUCCAUCACCGGCACUGUCACUUCCAUCCCCGGCACCCUUCGCUGCCUGCACGUGUUGCCCGCCGUCAGCUCUCCAGCCAGUGGAUGUCAGCCGGGGUGUUGACUGUGACGUCAGCUCCAUUGACAGACGCCCCAUCCCCCCCUUAGUGUACCGGGAUUCAAGCCGACUCCGGCCUGUCCAACAAGUCUUUCUCAAACCCCCCGAGAUAUCUCUAACUCUCAGCAAUAAAGUGUCUCCGCCGCACAGGAGGCUGACGAGAGCCGCCCACGUCACCUGCUCCGAGCUCCAUUCAGCAAUACAGGCCGCCCGCCGACCUACAACAGCCUCCAGUAAUAUGUAAAGUGCGUAAACCCUCUGGAUCCCUGACAGUCAAGCUCAAGCCCCGUGAGGUCCUCGCAAAUCCCGUCCCAAGACAGGAUCCCAACACCCUUCGUGUUCCGGUCCCGUCCCAAGACAGAAGAAAAAGUGCCCGGUACUCUCCCGUCGUCGAACCCGUUCCAGGAAAAGGUCCAGCUUCGCCCUUCCAGCCUCGGCCCCGUCCCACUUCGCUGCGACCCAGACCCUCGAACUUCCAGCCUCGGUCCCGUCCCUGGAGGAUAAAAAAUUAAGUCCCAUCCCAAGCAGUCCCCUCGGACCCCCCCCUCGGCCGCUCACUCCCUGCCACCUCCCCUCUAUAGUUCGUGGCGUCCCUCCACCACCACCAGAAGGCAAUACUUGAAGUGCUUCCGCGUGCGACUCGCGUGGAGGCAGGGAAGCUCUCUGAACUCCGAGGUUCUGUGGUGAAGUUGGACACUCAGGAGAGGCCUCAAGCUCGAGCUCUUCUGGAGAGGAACCGACUAGAGCUGAAAUAAAAGAUAAGUUUCCGUAGGGUUUCGCUCUCCUCGAGCCACAGCCCUUCCGAGAAAGCGCAAGAGGGAGGCUAUGGGCAUACGACUCGAUAUUCUGAGUUCCUAAAGCUCAAGGUCCAGAUUGGAUUCCUGGGGGCUGACACUGAAGAAUCACCCCCUCCCCCCUCCCGUAACCCCUGACAGUCCCCGCUGCCAGAAGGUCGUCCCGGGUGAUGACCAGACGACACGCAGAGGAAAUUAAACAUAUUUGCUGAGUCUUCCUGAUUCUCGGGUUGUCUCCGCCCGCGGUGGUUGAUACAGCCCUCCCGCCUUGAGAGUCAGCCGCCCACUCACUGUGUUGCCGCGGCCUAGAUAAUGCAAGAGCUGUCUGUUGUGUUGCGUAACUGGUGUUAUUGUUAAAUUUUGAAGAAAAGGUUAUAUCAAAGUUGAUUAUUAUAUCUGUACAGUGUCUUUCCAUGGGAGCAAUACCAGAAGUCACACUAUCCAUCAGGAACUCCAGAGAUAGCAGUACCGUGCACCGAGUACAAAGCUCUUGUGACCUCCGCCGCCACACAGCGCUGGCAGUCUGAGCUCACACAGGGCACCUCCCGCACUCUCAUAGCAAUAAUUACAACUUAAGUUCGUGUUUGUCUCGUCGACACCGCCUCAACACACGACAACAUGGCCGGAAGAUUCGCCGGAGCCCGCAUGGGCAUGACCACCCAGAAGAAGAAUGACGCCAACAUGAACAAGAGAAACCGAAGCAAGGACUUAUCCCAUAAUAGUAUCCAGCCCUCUCACGGCAGACGGGGCUCCAUUCUCUCGACCAUCUCAAAUAUCGGAGGGAGCAAGGUAUACUGUCGACCCUCUUCCAUCUGGCAUGUCUUAUCUCACUUGGUAUGAGAGGCGGAGGUGCUUCGAGUCAGUCAGCCCACCCGGAGAAGGAGGCGCCUGUCGCGUGCUCGCUGCCCUUCGCUUGCCGAGUCCUAGGAGACCUCCUGACCUCGUGUCCGUGCGGCUGGCCCCUCUGCGGGAGCCUUCCGUGACGUGAGACCAAGAGAUCUUCUUU
rnacentral:lncRNA from 1 species